AAGUACAUUAUACGUAAAUACAAAAUGAAGCCUAUGUUAAUGAAAGUCUGGAGACAACUUAAGACCUGAGGCUGUACUCUGAAGCUUGUGCUCCGGUAUGCCAAUGGCAUUUGCAGAAAAAGUUGUCCGAUAUUUUAUCUGAACCAUAUAUACAAAAUGAGACAAAAAAGGAGGUAGUCACUGCAAACUAUAAGGACACAAAUGGGGCAGGGUCCUUUGGAGGAAAUGCUAUGAAGGAAAGUUGCAUUCUUUUCUCAGACUGAGGGGAGGGAGGGUUCCUGACCUUUCUAGAUUAAAGGAUUCUUUAGAAACUCUUUCCACCGCUUCUUUGCCA
rnacentral:lncRNA from 10 species